GACGAACGCUGGCGGCGUGCUUAACACAUGCAAGUCGAACGGUGAAGCCCUUCGGGGUGGAUCAGUGGCGAACGGGUGAGUAACACGUGGGCAACCUGCCCUGCACUCUGGGAUAACUCCGGGAAACCGGGGCUAAUACCGGAUACUACCUGCCUCCGCAUGGGGGUGGGUGGAAAGUUCCGGCGGUGCAGGAUGGGCCCGCGGCCUAUCAGCUUGUUGGUGGGGUAAUGGCCUACCAAGGCGACGACGGGUAGCCGGCCUGAGAGGGCGACCGGCCACACUGGGACUGAGACACGGCCCAGACUCCUACGGGAGGCAGCAGUGGGGAAUAUUGCGCAAUGGGCGAAAGCCUGACGCAGCGACGCCGCGUGAGGGAUGACGGCCUUCGGGUUGUAAACCUCUUUCAGCAGGGAAGAAGCGCAAGUGACGGUACCUGCAGAAGAAGCACCGGCUAACUACGUGCCAGCCGCCGC
rnacentral:rRNA from 1 species